rnacentral:rRNA from 1 species
CCUACGGGAGGCAGCAGUGAGGAAUAUUGGUCAAUGGGCGGGAGCCUGAACCAGCCAAGUCGCGUGAGGGAAGACGGUCCUAUGGAUUGUAAACCUCUUUAGGCGGGGAGCAAUGCAGGGCACGCGUGCCCGGAGGGAGAGUACCCGCAGAAUAAGCAUCGGCUAACUCCGUGCCAGCAGACGCGGUAAUACGGAGGAUGCGAGAGUUAUCCGGAUUGAUUGGGGUUAAAGGGUGCGUAGGCGGAUUUUUAAGUCAGCGGUAAAAUGUCCGGGCUCAACCCGGGCCGGCCGUUGAAACUGGGGAUCUUGAGUGGGCGAGAAGUAUGCGGAAUGCGUGGUGUAGCGGUGAAAUGCAUAGAUAUCACGCAGAACUCCGAUUGCGAAGGCAGCAUACCGGCGCCCGACUGACGCUGAGGCACGAAAGCGUGGGGAUCGAACAGGAUUAGAUACCCUUGUAGUC